GAAGAACGAAUCUCGGCAACGGAAUUUUGGGUUUUCGCAUCGAUGAAGAACGUAGCGAAAUGCGAUACUUGGUGUGAAUUGCAGAAUCCCGUGAACCAUCGAGUCUUUGAACGCAAGUUGCGCCCGAAGCCAUCACCUCGAGGGCACGUCUGCCUGGGCGUCACACGC
rnacentral:rRNA from 1 species